GUAUCGAGUCUCCAUGGUUGAUCCCAACAUGAGGAUACGCUUCACGUCUCAACAUCCCAAAGACUUUCCAGAUGAGGAAAUCUAAAUUACUGACACUAUUUGUUCUCUUUUGAUUUUUUACUAUUUUAUUAAUAUGAAAUAAUGCAUGCUGUUUAAUUUAAAAAAUGAACUAUUUUCUUUAAAAUAUUUUAUGUAGGUAUUACAUUUGAUCCAGGAGAGGAAUAACAUCUGUAAGCAGAUCCACCUCCCAGCUCAGAGUGGCAGCAGUCGAGUUUUACAGUCCAUGAGACGUGGCUACACCAGGGAGGCGUACCUCGAGUUGGUGGAAAACAUUCGAAAGAUAAUACCAGAGGUCAGUCUGAGCAGCGACUUCAUCGACACUGUCUCUGCUCCGGGAGGUGGGCUACAAUGUAGGCUUUCUGUUCGCAUACAGCAUGAGGAAGGUAAGCAGAAUCAUCACUGAACAAAACUGAGGGUUAUUUGUAGUCAGCGGUGAAACCAGAUCUCUUCGAUUCCCGAAAAUCGAAAAAAAUUGGAUUACAGAAAACACACUCAUAUCACCGUCUACACGAUAAUGUCCCUGUGGAGGUGAAGAAAAGGCGUCUGGAGGAGCUCAUAUCCGUGUUCAGAGAGGAAGCCUCUAAAUUGAACACAGCUCUCAUUGGGAGCACACAACUGGUCCUAGUGGAGGGAGAGAGUAAACGAUCGCCUGAGGAUCUCUGUGGUCGGAAUGACGGCAACGUAAAAGUGAUUUUUCCCAGAAAGGAUUUGCCCUCUGACCCCACAGGCAUUAAUACUGCCCCGGUUAAAGCUGGAGACUAUGUACUGGUGAAGAUUACUUCAGCAAACUCCCAGAGUCUGCGAGGCCACGCCCUCAGCCACACCUCCCUGAACUUAUGAGCAGCAGAAUAACGAACAGAACACUGUAUGUUAAUGUUAGUAUUAGUGAACCACGUUUAUUGAACAAAUUAUAAAUAUUGCUGUA